AGUAAUAUGUCUGAAAUUAAGUAAUAAACUGUAAAUUUAUUCAUGAAUAAACUAAUAAUUAUUCUAUUACUA
rnacentral:tRNA from 1 species